ensembl:lncRNA
AGCGUUUGUAACUUGUGUUUACAUUAGUUGCUUAGAAUUUUACACUUGUCUUCUUGGUGGCUUAUUUAAUUGAUAAAUCCAAAAGGCAAUCAUCGUUAACAUCUGGGGAAGAUGUUGUCAAAAUUAAGAACAGUGCAAUCAAAAAGAGAACGCGACAGAGGCUUGUGCUAAUACAAGAGUAAAUAUCGGCGUGGUGACAGCUCCGAGAUCUGAAGAGAUCUGACGCAAAUACGGCUUUUUAAAUGCUGAACAGAUCCCUGUUUUUUCCAGAUCCAGGAGUGAGAGAGAAAGAGAGAGCAGGAGCUUUUUUCCUCGUCUCCACAGGGAGUGAAGAGAAAUACUGGAUCUGCAGUGUUUGGGGCGUUGGGACAUGGCUACCGCGCUGUCAGGAGGAGACAAUAAAACAGCUUCAACCCAAAGCUGAAAGCUCCAUGAGUCUUUUAAGUUUUGGAGAAAGUGUCACACCUCUGGUCCAGGGGGAAGGCGAGCACGAAACACUGAGAACGCGGCAGAUGCAACACCUCCCAAGCUGAAGGGUUUCAACAAAAACAGCAGGAGAUGACACAGAUGGACCGAAUUAAUUUGGUUCCCUCCAUUUCCCGGAGAUGGGAAAGCACAAACAGGCACACGCGGGGAACAACACGACAUCGCGGCUGUCCUCCUGCAACCGCGCACUUGUGUUUUCUGUCCUGAGGAUAAAUGAUGCAAGGUCAUGUUUGCCUUUAAUCUUGUCAGCUUAUGUGUGAUGACAUCUUAAAUAUUGUUACUAUGGCAUAUGCACUAAUAAAAGAGGAAGAUAAGGUCUGAAUACA